UCGAACCUGAAGCCAGUUGAACGCUGGCGGGAUGCUUUACACAUACAAGUCGAACGGCGCUUUGAACGGUCUGGUGGCGAGUGGCAGACGGGUGAGUAAUGUAUCGGAACGUGCCUAGUAGCGGGGGACGCUACGCGAAAGCGUAGCUAAUACCACAUACGCCCUUCGGGGGAAAGCGGGGGACCUUCGGGCUCUAUAUGGAAGCGGCCGAUAUCGGAUUAGCUAGUUGGUGGGGGUAACGGCUCUGCCAGGCGGCAAAUCCGUAGCUGGUUUGAGAGGACGACCAGCCACGCUGGGACUGGAACGGAGCCUCACAAGGGCAGCAGUGGAAUUUUGGACAAUGGGGAAACCCUGAUCCAGCCAUCCCGCGUGUGCGAUGAAGGCCUUCGGGUUGUAAAGCACUUUUGGCAGGAAAGAAACGGCACGUAAUACCCAGUAUGACGACGUACCUGCAGAACCAGCACCAACGGCUAACUACGUGCCAGCAGCCAUGAUAAUGCGUAGGGUGCGCAAGCGUUAAUCGGAAUUACUGGGCGUAAAGCGUGCGCAGGCGGUUCGGAAGAAGAUGUGAAAUCCCAGAGCUUAACUGGAACUGCAUUUUUAACUACCGAGCUAGAGUGUGUCAGAGGGAGGUGGAGAUUACGAUAAUAGCAGUGAAAUGCGCUGAAUAUGCGGAGGAACACCGAUAGCGAAGGCAGCCUCCUGGCGAUGGCUGCUGACGCUCAUGCACAACGUGGGGAGCAAGCAGGAUUAGAUACCCUGGUAGUCCACGCCCUAAACGAUGUCAACUAGCUGUUGGGGCCUUUGGGCCUUGGUAGCGCAGCUAACGCGUGGGGAUGACCGCCUGGGGGAGUACGGUCGCAAGAUUAAAACUCAAAGGGAAUUGACGGGGACCCGCACAAGCGGUGGAUGAUGUGUGAGUUAAUUCCUGAUGCAACGCGAAAAGCCUUACUACCCUUGACAUGUCUGGAAUCCCGAAGAGAUUUGGGAGUGCUCGCAAGAGAACCGGAACACAGGUGCUGCAUGGCUGUCGUCAGCUCGUGUCGUGAGAUGUUGGGUUAAGUCCGCAACGAGCGCAACCCUUGUCAUUAGUUGCUACGAAGGGCACUGUGGAACUGCCGGUGACAAACCGGAGGAAGGUGGGGAUGACGUCAAGUCCUCAGCCAUAUGGGCGGGCUUCACUCAUACAAUGGUCAGGACCGAGAUUAUCUUCCCGCGAGGAGCCAAUCCGACUUGAUCGUAGUCCGGAUCACCGGUCGCUCGACCGCGUGAAGUGGAAUCGCUAGUAAUCGCGGAUCAGCAUGUCGCGGUGAAUACGUUCCCGGGUCUUGUACACCGCCCGUCACACCAUGGGAGUGGGUUUUUGCAGAAGUAGUUAGCCUAACCGUAAGGAGGGCGAUUACCACGGUAGGAGUCAUGACUGGGGUGAAGUCGUAACAAGGUAA
rnacentral:rRNA from 1 species